rnacentral:rRNA from 1 species
GACGAACGCUGGCGGCGUGCUUAACACAUGCAAGUCGAACGGAAAGGCCCUGCUUUUGUGGGGUGCUCGAGUGGCGAACGGGUGAGUAACACGUGAGUAACCUGCCCUUGACUUUGGGAUAACUUCAGGAAACUGGGGCUAAUACCGGAUAGGAGCUCCUGCUGCAUGGUGGGGGUUGGAAAGUUUCGGCGGUUGGGGAUGGACUCGCGGCUUAUCAGCUUGUUGGUGGGGUAGUGGCUUACCAAGGCUUUGACGGGUAGCCGGCCUGAGAGGGUGACCGGCCACAUUGGGACUGAGAUACGGCCCAGACUCCUACGGGAGGCAGCAGUGGGGAAUAUUGCACAAUGGGCGGAAGCCUGAUGCAGCAACGCCGCGUGCGGGAUGACGGCCUUCGGGUUGUAAACCGCUUUGGACUGUGACGAAGAGUGAGUGACGGUAAUGGGUAAAGAAGCACCGGCUAACUACGUG